GACGAACGCUGGCGGCGUGCUUAACACAUGCAAGUCGAACGGAAAGGCCCUGCUUUUGUGGGGUGCUCGAGUGGCGAACGGGUGAGUAACACGUGAGUAACCUGCCCUUGACUUUGGGAUAACUUCAGGAAACUGGGGCUAAUACCGGAUAGGAGCUCCUGCUGCAUGGUGGGGGUUGGAAAGUUUCGGCGGUUGGGGAUGGACUCGCGGCUUAUCAGCUUGUUGGUGGGGUAGUGGCUUACCAAGGCUUUGACGGGUAGCCGGCCUGAGAGGGUGACCGGCCACAUUGGGACGGAGAUACGGCCCAGACUCCUACGGGAGGCAGCAGUGGGGAAUAUGGCACAAUGGGCGGAAGCCUGAUGCAGCAACGCCGCGUGCGGGAUGACGGCCUUCGGGUUGUAAACCGCUUUCGCCUGUGACGAAGCGUGAGUGACGGUAAUGGGUAAAGAAGCACCGGCUAACUACGUG
rnacentral:rRNA from 1 species